AUUCAGUUCAGUUGUCAGGUUUUCAUCAGAGUAACAGUGAAUGAAUCUAAAGACAGUGAAUGGCUGAAAACAUAUGACUGAACUGUUCCACUGUCUUCAUCACAUCAGUUGCUGAAAAGCCCAUAAUCUGCCUCCAGAGGUUAAGGAAGAAACGAGCAGACGUAAGUGGAAUAAGGAUCUUGGUGCAUCCGAAGAGCAAAAAGAGAGAUUUAAGCCUGGUCUUAAAGUAGAGACAGUUUCUGCUGCUCAGACCUGAAUACCUCAUUUAAUAUGAUUACAAAUCACCAGUCGGUGCCGCCUUUAAAUCACACACAGCCAGUUCUGCUCCUCCAGAGCCACUGUCCUGCUGAUUCUACGACGAACGCUGCUCGGCUGCCACUGAUUACCCUGAGCAGGUGUGUUCAGUCAAUCAGCAGCAGGAAACGCCAAGUGACACACGCGAUCAGGGUAGUCAGCGGGGGGUGUGGGGGGCAGCAGCACAGAGAGCUGCCCCUCUGCUCUGAAGCAACCGCUGCAGGACAGAGGCACCAACGUCAGUGGUAGAACUCACAAAGAGACCCGAUUCACUGACAGCUCUAGACACCAGAACAGAGGAGCAGCCAUUCAUCAGUGCAGGAAAAGGCCUGGAGCCCCCUGUGCUCCGUGGACUCCAGGCAGAGCCAAUCUCUGGGGAAUGAGUUCCAGUCAUGAAGAGACAGAAACAUGGGGAUAAACAAAUGGACCGGUUUUUGCAUGCAGGCCUAAUUACAGGGCAGCUAGAAAUAACCACUGCAGGAGACAGGCAGGCCAGUGUAAUGCAUUGUAAUGGGCCGUGGGGAGUUAAUGCCUCAUUUCUGAGCUGAGAUGAUGCUUGUUUGGUUCACAUGCUGCUGUGAUUCAGCCCAUGAACGAGCACAGACAGAGGCUCGAGGAGGUGGGGCUGUAUCUGCUGCAACGCGAGCGAGGCUGAGGCAAACAGCUGGCUGCACCCGGGGCGUCUGGACAAAUGUCACGUGCAUGAGCCCCGGACCAGGACCAUUCACUCCUGGAUCGAAGCCAAGAACGCUCGUCAUAAACGCUGGCUGCGUCUACGCAGCAUCGCACGCGCUCAGGCUCCUCCUCUUUAGUGCACAGGUGAACUUAGGCGAUGGCCAUGGGACAGACAGGCAUCAGGCCAAGCAGUCAGUCUCCAGGCGUGGUUCAACAAACGAGGCAGAGUCCAGAAUCAAAACAGACAGGGAGCAGGCAGGAAAAGGUCCGGAGGAGAUCCAGGACUGGUGCAGAGACGAACGAACGCUGGGGAGUUGA
rnacentral:lncRNA from 1 species